AUGUAUUGGUACAAACAAAAACCAGGACAGAAACCUGGAAUGAUCUCAAAGACGUACAGAGAUCUGCAGCUUUCAGACUCAGCUACUUACUACUGUUUACAGAGUUGUUCACAUAAGUUUGAGUUUAUGCAGAGCGUCACUGUCAGUGUGAAAGGUUCAGGGUCUAACAUCCAGGCUGUGGUGCAUCAAUCUGAGAGCAUCCAGCCAGGAGGCUCUGUGACUCUCAGCUGUACAGUUCACACUGGGACCUGUGAUGGAGAACACAGUGUUUACUGGUUCAAGAACUCUGAAGAACCUCAGCCAGGACUCAUUUACACCAAGGGAGACAGGAACGAUCAAUGUGAGAGGAAACCUGACACACGGACAAACACCUGUGUCUACAACUUGUCAAUGGAGAGACUGAACCGUUCUCAUGCUGGGACCUACUACUGUGCUGUCGCUGCAUGUGGACACAUUGUGUUUGGAGACGGGACCAAGCUGGAGUUUGAUGGUGAGUCUCAUUUAAUGAAUAGUGACAGAAGAAAGAGACAGGACAUUGGUAAAAUACUCAACAACAACAAAAUGAAACAGUAA